AAAAAAAAGGCAACAAGCAUGCUGGGACCAUUCUGUCUGCUGUUUGGGUCUCACUUGUCCUGACAACUAAAAAUCAGCAGUGGAAAGGUAGGAUAUACUGAGAAGACAGAAAACCUCCCACAGUGGGAGGGGAAGUGACGAGGUUGCCCAAUGCAAAGCACUUUCAAUCAAAAUGUGAUACAUUAGAACCCAAGGAGUCUGAAUCCAAAAUUCAGUGCUUGAACUGAACAUUAAGCCUCCUCUGUAAAAUAAAGAAAAUAUUGGAAAGAACAACA